CAGCCGCCGCGGUAAUACGAAGGGUGCAAGCGUUAAUCGGAAUUACUGGGCGUAAAGCGUGCGUAGGUGGUGGUUUAAGUCCGUUGUGAAAGCCCUGGGCUCAACCUGGGAAUUGCAGUGGAUACUGGGUCACUAGAGUGUGGUAGAGGAUAGUGGAAUUUCCGGUGUAGCAGUGAAAUGCGUAGAGAUCGGAAGGAACAUCUGUGGCGAAGGCGACUAUCUGGGCCAACACUGACACUGAGGCACGAAAGCGUGGGGAGCAAACAGGAUUAGAUACCCCUGUAGUCCCUGUCUCUUAUAC
rnacentral:rRNA from 1 species